AAUAACAGCUCUCCCUCCACUGUUUUUCUUUGCAAUAACUCAGUAUAUAGUAUGAGGACUGCUGGUUCACACCAAGGGCUCAUUUAUAAGGAUAUCCUCUAGCUUCCAAUUUGCAUCCACAUUACGUUACCUUAGAGUUAAAAACCCCAACAACAUUGAAAAGGGUAAUCAAAGAUAAUUGCAUAGAACAAUAAAUACCAGUGAAACCAUAUUAACUCAGUAAAGCAUCAAAAAGAGAGAGAGCAGAAAGGAAAAAAUAAAUCUGACAUGAUAAAACCCAGUGAAAUUAAGUAAACACCCCCCCCCCCCCAAAAAAAAAAAACCUGGCAGAAGCUCUAAGGGAUUGUUUAAGCACUGAAAUGUACUUUAAAAAUAAAAGCAUCCAAUACAGUUUCCCUGUGUAACACACCUGGCUGUAUAUUGCAAACAGGGUGCCAAAUUCAGUAAACUUCAGUGUUAGGCAGGCUUUGCACCCACAAAAAUCAUGAAACACUCUCUAUAGCAUUAAUGAGAACAAAACUAGGCCAUGUAAGUAUAUUCUGAUUUUUCUGUAAGGCAAAAUAUUACUGCAUUCCAUUUUCUAGUCUGCAUUUCUGUCAGCUGACAGUAUGCCUGCACGAUUAAGAUAUAAAGCUAAUAAAUGUUUUAAUUCGAAUAUUAUUACAAACUAGAGAGAAGUCAGAUAAAACCAGAGAUUUUUUAUUGCACAAAAUAAAUUAUAUAGAAACAAUGCAACAAAACAACUCGUAUUGUAGGCUGCACAACAGAUGUUACAACAUGAAUAUAUUUAUUGCUUUGAGAAAGGAGCAAUUCAGUGCUAGUAAGCAGAUUAGUUAUACUUCUUGCUCAUCUAGAUUUUUCAUAAAAUUAAUCCAGCUGGGCUAGAGGCAUCUUGCAGCAUAUCGGUCAGAUCAAAUUGUCACUUGUUUUCCACUGUUACAAAGGUGCUGUGAACAUUCUUGACAUUAGCAUGGAUCAAUUUCAUGUCACCAGUACUGAGCCAUACAGGUAGUUACAUAUUUAGAACCGUCAUUACAUAUCAGUAUAGUUAUGUUCAAAACAAAAGGUCCAUUUACACAGUUUGCAUGAGCCGUUGUUCUAAAAUAAAUCUUGCUUGCAAAUGUUGAUGCAGCUUUGAACAGGCACACUUCACUCUACAUCAAGAGGCAGGACACCCCUGACUAUCAGCACUUCCCUUACCUAAUUGCAAAACUGCUCACUGAUGUUAACUCAGUAAUAGGUGUCUCAUUUUUUCCAGGGCCACACUCAGCUUCUAAGGACUGUAGCACGGACUAAAAAAAAAACAAAACAACGUCAUUCCUUUGGUAGAACAGGGUCAGGCUGAAGAGCUUAACUCUAGUGUCAGGCCCAUGGAGCAGACCCCUGUAGAAUCCCACUGAAAUAAGUAAACACAUUUUGGAUUGUAUAAUAAUAACUACAAACAAAUGUGGUGGCUACUUUUUACUGUAUUUCAAGAAAAUUCUUUGCUUUAA